UAUUAAAUCUUGGUUCCGUGACUCCUAUCAAUUUUUGCAUGCGACAAAUUCCGGACAAACUAUUACCUGGAUUUGUGGAGUGGAAGAUGAAGAAGGAGACACGGAAAGGGCAGAGAAAAUUUAGUCGAAGACUUGAAUUCCGUCGUUUACACCGUGGAAUAUUCCCUAAUUUUUCGUACUCGAAUACGAUUCAUUUCCUGAAUCAAUUUUUCUUCAAAAUUUGGACUUUAAUUUUAUACUGAACUCCAACUUUGAUUUGACCCAUAUUUUUCCAGUUGCCGCUCCCAUGUAACGAAGGAAGGCAGGAAGAAAGGAGCCGAAAAUGGAAAGGUAGAAACAUGAAGUUAUUCGGCUCGAGGAAGGAAGAUAAAGGAGAAAGGAGGAAAGGAGCUUUCCCAUGCGUUAUAGCAGAAAAUCUGAGAACAAUGAAAGAAUUCAGAGGUCAAGGAAGUAGGGGAACAGAGAUGGAUAUGAAUAGAGAAAGCAGAGGUCAAGGCUCAGAGGAACAGAAGGAAGUUAGGGAUUCGAGGCGAUGACCGGGAGCUGGGAAAGAAAGGCUCGGCUUUCGGCUACAAGAAGGAGACGAGAGAGAAAUCAAAGUAGGAGGUUUUAGGGGGGUAAAAUUUCGUAAAAGGGGAGAGCAGCAAGAGGUUCGGGGAAAAGAAGCAGAGAUUGGGAUCGAUAACAGAGGUAGAAGAGACGGCGAGAGAAUAGUCGGGGGAAAAAAGAUAAGAUUUUUCUGGGUUUUUUUGGGAGAAUGUAGGCACAAGUUAGAGGGGACCUUGGGAGACGAUUUUGGGGAAUUUCUAGGAAAAUCAGAGCGGAGAAUUGAAGGAGUGAGGAGAAUCAGUUGGAGAGAGAUCGGAGCGACUUUAAAAGGGCGGCGCUUUUCUGGUUUGUUGAGAACAGAGCAGAGCUAGUGGAAGGCUGGGAACCGAAAGAGAGGGUCCACAAAGCCAGCGGCGGUAGCAGGGACCUUCAAUUCUGAGGGACCAUAGGGAAAAGGAGUGGUUCUUAAGUUGAACAAAGGCUAAUCAAAAGAGAGGACGAGCUUCGACUUUUGGAGCACACGAGGGAGGAAAUGUUCGAGCACUUUCUAUCUAUCCAACCUAAACAGAAGAAUGUUCUCUCACACAUGGAAGCGAUUAUGACCACUCUUACAAGAAAGUGAGUACAUUGCAGUGAAGUUGCUCUUUCUACUUUCAUCUAGUCUUCAGGGAGAUAACAUGGAGAGUUCUUGAAAGUUGUGCCAUUAGAUUUAAACUAUUUUGAUGCAAAUAAUUAAAUCUUAAAGCAUUCCCCUCCAGGAUUACAAUAAUUUAGAGACCACUGUAUGCCAUAACUUAUCUAUGGCGCAGCAUGAUGUUAUUGUCAUUGAUGAUCCAACUCGUGAGAGCAAAUUAAUAAAAUAACAUAACUAGGGAGAUAACCAAUUGAUAAUCAAACUAAUGAUAACAAGUGAGUAAACAAAGUAAUCAAAGAGAUUCAGAUCAUGUUGUAAGUUUUACAACACAGAUUGAGUCAUGUAGUGAUAGAUCUCUCAAUUUGGUUGUAAGCAAUAAUGCUGUGGAGGUUAAAGACAGGGUGACGUUAUUGUUGAUUUGAAGAAGAAAGAGGCUCCACUUGAAGAUAUUCCCAAGAUUCUUUGUGGCUCCUAGUAGUAAUUCAGAAAAGUUUGGCAAUACUUCCUGGUUCUUGUCAUCCUAAUUGGUUUACUAUUUUUUCAAAAUCUUUUAUUUUUGAACAUUCUUGUUUUCUGAUGAUGAUAACAAGUUCUGGAAGCUUCAAUCACUAGGAAGACAAGUUUCAAUUUUCAUAUGUUUUCUACCUCGACAUUUCAUAACUUGAGGUUGGGUUGUCAUCAAGUGGGGGUACAAUAACAUAGAAGA